GAAAAGCAAUUAAUGGUUUACAAGCUUUCAUGGAUGCUACUGCAUGUGACACUCGGCAAACCCUUCAUCACUGUGUAAUGAAUAUUAAUUAAAACUGAAGCGGUGAGUUAUGUGCUGAAUUGUCAUUAAAUCUUUAAACUGGGUGAGGCCAAUAUAAAUGCCAAGAGGCCCGCUCCGCACUUUAAUGAAGAAUCCUCAAAGGUCACUCAUGCAGACAAUGGCAUUUAUAAAACAAUUUGCGUCCAAUGCUUUUAUUAAGAUGGCAAAGGCUGUUUUAUCAAACUAUUUUGGAAAUACGCUGCUGUUUUCUGCUGAACUAGGUGCAAUUUUUCAUCUCUUUUCUGAUAUUUUAAAAAACAGUAUAAAACCUAUUUGUCCUUAAUGUUUGUGUUAUGAAUCAAAGUUCUUCAAUAUUUAAUUUGCAAGGCUACUUUUUUAAAGGUGUGUGUAUUAACACACCUACAAUAGAGUUGAUAGUAUUCUGUUGAUGCACCGUACUUCUCUGAGUGCAAUGUCUGUGGAUGUAUCUGUGUGUAUGUAUAUUUAUCUACGCACUUUUCUGGAUAUUACUUCUAAAACAAAAUAAUUUGAGCUUUUUUCAUCAUUUUAAAUACAACCUGCUAAUCAUCAUGAUUGUUUAUGCAAAUGGGUUUUUUGUUGUUGUUGUUUAAAAAAAAACCCGUAUUGGUCUGGAGCAACCGCUUUGAUUCCGGAUUUCAUUCAUUGAUUAAAAGCCUGUGUGUCCGAGUUGGAAAAGAACAAGUUUAAUCCCAUUAGCCCCAUCGUACGGGAGUCUUAAAAAGAAACUGGAACUAUCUGUAACAGCUUACUGGAUUAGAACCCUUCCUGAACUCAUGUAACCUGGGUGACUCUGGGGCUCCAAUUAUGUUACACCUAGUCAAAAAAAACUUGUGCUUUUAGUUGAACUGAACUUUAUUUAUGAUAUAGAUGAAAGCUUUUUCCUAGCUGGUAACUCAGUAACUUUUAACAAGUGCUCAGAUGUCAAACCACAUCAGUUAUUCCCUAUAAAUAGUAAAGCUUAGAUGUCUGUGACAAGUGGAUCCAUGUAACUAAUUCAGGAAUGAGUAGCUUGUUGGUACUUUUCCACAUUCAGUGUUUGAAAUCUCAGUGGGAGCACAAAGUGCCAAAAUCACCCUGUCAAUGUGAAAUAUUUAAAGUUUUCAUGUUAUUUGACAACAUUUAAAAACAAAACAUAUUCAUCCUCAGUACAGCCUUCACCUAUUUUAGAAAAUAUUUUCAUGGCACCCAGGGCCGAGAAUCAACUCAGUGACCACUGUUUGGAGAGAUGUAACCUCUCGAUAUAGUGCACCUGCUCUACAAACGAGUCAUAUGUUGCACCUGGAAUUGACUUUUUACAAAGAAGUUUGUAGAGCAUCAAUAACAUUGGACCUUUUUCAUAUUUAAUUGUGUUACAACCCCAAACUUUAUGUAGUUUAACAGUGUAGACUGAAUACACAAAAUAGUGGAUGGUCACGAUGUCCUGGCUGGUAGUUUAAAAUGACACAUUUAUCACAGUUGCAUCUCUUAACAGAUUAGCAUUAAGUUAUUAUUAUCAUUAUAAGCAAAAUUGUUGAAAAUGUUUCAAAAUCCUAUUUUGUUUUGACAAAUACAUGUGAAAGAACAGAAACAUGAUAUCCUUUGCUGCUAUUUUUUGAGCUAUUUUAACUUUACUUUCAGUGCUAUCUUAAUAUCAAAGAAUGCUCCAGCUAGUGAGAUUUAUUUACCUGUAAUAAAUAGGUCUGGUUCAGGGAGUCUUUGGUAAAAAUUGUUCAUUGAUAUUUAAAGUGGAAAGUUUUCUAAUGUCAAUGUUCAGAAAAAGUCCAGUUGCUUUGGAACAAUGGCAGGAUGAUAUAAUAGUAUUACAUUACUCACUCGUAAGCUGAGAUAGAUAACCAGCUUAGCCCAUUGUAGGCUAUUGGGCUAACUAUUUCUGAUCCCAUUGACGUUGCAGGAAGCCAGGCUUAAAAUAAUAAGAGGAGCAGCCUCACAAGGUUAUAAAAGGAUGCACAAAAAGGGUUUGAGGUAGAUGCCAGAUUACACGUGUCCUAUUCAGACCUGAAACAGGCGGCCACAAUCUGUAAACAUGGAUCCUGCAGCUCAGACCCUGAACGCCAGCGCAGCCUUCAACAGAGAGGCCUUCCCCAGGAGAGCCAUGCGAGCGGCACCCAGAGGAGUCUCAUCUCACUUUGUGGGGACUUCAAUUGUGAUCCUGUCUUCGUUUGCUGUCUCUGCCUUAGCUAUGAACUGUGGGAAGAGGAUCCAGGAGUCGAGACAAAAACCUCAUGGAAGCUAAAACACCUGGACUGAUGAAUAUGCCUUCAAUAGCUACCACGAGUUAAGAGUUCUUACAAUUACGAUUUUCUUUUUCUUUUUUUGCAAAGCCAUAUUAUCUGGCUCUUGUGGUCAGCUUUCUCGUGUCCUUGUACCAUAAAGUGUGGUUGUAUGUUUAGCAUGAGGCAUCUUAAUGAAUAGUCUGAGGAACCAGAACAAUGUGAGACCUCUAGUGGAUGAGUUUGAGACUCCUCUGGCUUCCACCAAUGUAUGUCUUGUUGAACUGGUGCUGAUUUCAGAAAGGUGGAAAAAAAUAUGCAGUAAUAUCAAGAAGCCUCUUCCAAAUGUUACCUCAGAUUUGUUGUCAUAGUGAUAAAAGCAACAUUAAAAACUAGAAAAAAAGAUGGCUCUGCUCAGAGUGUGCAGAAAGGUGAAAGGUGCAAAUGUUAGAAUGCGUGGUCUACAGAAAGAUAGCAUGUAAUACAUCUUUAGGGUCUGUUUGGAUCUGAAUAAUCUUAUACACCUCCAGGUGCACUUUAUAUAUUUUAUUAACAGAAAAUCCUCUAGAGGCCACAUUUAACAUUGGACUUUAAUCGUUUUGUAGAAUCACAUUCAACAUAAUCACUUUAACUUUGUAUUUCAGCUGUCUUUUCCCUACGAAGAAAAAUAUUAGAGGUAUUGUGUAUUAGAAGCUGUUGUCUCUGGCUUGAUGAAUGAAAAGUAAAAUAUUUUUUCCCUAU